UUACCGUCAGUAUUCCCGCAAAAAAUCCGUUUAAUCAGACGGUGUAUUUAACAGAAUCCGUCACCGUUUAUUUCGUCCUCAAUUUUUCUCUGGACUGUAGAGGUGAGGUGAUAGAUUAUUGGAGAGGAUUGCUUGUGAAGAUCUUCUGUCUCUGUGGAUUCGAAACCAAUCUUCAAAAGGUAAAUCUCUGAGAUACCCUCUUUAUCCAUCCACUUUCUUCUUCUCUUCCAUAGUUUCAGAUUUUGUAGCUCUUUUCAAUUUUUAUUUAUUUAUUUAUUUUUUCCGUUUCUUCAGCCAUUCUCUUCUUACUGUACAUAUAUAUAUCUAGGGUUAUUUCAAAUUUCACUAUUUUUCUAUUUAGGAAUUGAAACAUUCUGAUCUUGAAGUCCUUAUUUCCCCUCUAAAGCGUUUUUGCUACAUGAGUCCUUUAUGGGGUGAUUGAUUUAGGGGUUAAUUCAGUAUAUGUUUCGGGGAUUUAUUUAUAUGGGGAUUUGAGAAGGUGCUUUUUAUUUUUUUAUUUUUUAUGUUGGUGGGUCUGAAAUUUCGUAGUAGCAGAGAACCACAUAGUAAAUUAGAGCAGAAAUGGGGGAAGAUUUACUCACAACCCUAACGAUUGAGAAAUAUCAUCCAUCAACAUUCUUAUCUAUGGAUUCGAUUGCCACUUCUCACGAGGAAUCGGAUCGAGACAUGAAUAGGCAGGUCAUCCUUUCUCGGCCACCUGAUAUUAAUCUUCCGCUAUCGGCGGAGAGAAGUCCUCCGCCAGGGCCACCACAGCUGUGGAACCAUGACAGCUAUGAUAUGCUAGAGGUUGGCCUUGGACAUCAAAUUAACGAAUCGGAAACACUACUGAAUAUUACUAAGAUUGGGCGGAAAUGUGCUAAGAGGUUGGAUAGUGUAUGGGGGGCUUGGUUUUUCUUUAGUUUCUACUUCAAGCCUGUUUUGAAAGAGAAGUCAAAGUGCAACAUAAUUCGGGAUAGCAAUGGGGUCUGUGGCUUUGAUAAGUCGGAUCUCCAGCUCGAUGUUUUCUUGGUUCAGCAUGAUAUGGAGAAUAUGUAUAUGUGGGUAUUCAAAGAGAGGCCUGAGAAUGCCUUGGGUAAGAUGCAGUUGAGGAGUUACAUGAAUGGGCACUCACGCCAGGGCGAGCGUCCAUUUCCGUUUAGUGUUGACAAGGGUUUUGUUCGAUCGCAUAGAAUGCAGCGGAAACAUUACAGGGGCCUUUCUAAUCCUCAGUGUGUGCAUGGGAUUGAGCUUGUUCCGUCACCAAAUCUUAUGGCUAUUGAUGAGGAAGAACAAAAGAAAUGGAUGGAACUUACUGGCAGAGAUCUUAAUUUCUCUCUCUCCCCUGAAGCAAGGGACUUUUCGUCAUGGAGAAACCUUCCGAACACGGAUUUUGAGCUUGAGAGACCACUUCCUCCAUUAAAGGGUAAUCCGCAUAACCCUUCAAGGAAAUUGCUUAAUGGGUCUGGUUUGAACUUGUCAACACUGCCAUCUAACCAGGUAAAUGGCAGUGGAAUAGAUCUCUUACCUGUUUGCAACAAGAGGAGGAAGGACCUCUUCCCACAUGGGAAUGAUGAAGAUUGUUGUCUGCCCAUUAAUCCACAUUCUGAUAGACUUCAAGAAAUGGAGAUCCACCCCAUUGAACCACCUUGGAUGAGUGAGUUUAGUGGGGUAAUGAGGAAUGUAUAUGGGCCUGUUACAGCAGCAAAAACUGUCUAUGAGGAUGAAGAAGGAUAUUUAAUCAUUAUCACCUUGCCUUUUGCUGAUCCUGAAAGGGUAAAAGUUCAUUGGUGGAACAAUCUCACUCAUGGUGUUGUGAAGAUAUCAUCCGUGAGCACAGCAUGCAUGCCCUUUGUCCAGAGAAAUGAUAGAACGUUUAAGCUCAGUGAUCCAUCUCCUGAGCACUGCCCUCCUGGAGAAUUUAAAAGAGAAAUCCCGCUUGCCACCCGAAUUCCAGAUGAUGCCAAGCUAGAAGCAUACUUCGAUAAAGGUGGAACAGUUCUUGAGAUUAAAGUGCCAAAACACCGUGUGGGACCAGAAGAGCAUGAGGUUCCUGUUUCCCUUCGUCCUCCCAAUGACUUUGUGUUGUCUUGAAUGUGGCAUUUGGGCAAUGAAAUGUAAGGGUAGCUAUUAUGAUCAGUUUAUCACUUACUAUGUCCCAAAAAAGAUAAAUUUCUAAGACAAAUUUUCAUCCUUGCUAAUCACAACUUUUCAAACUUUUGACUCAUAGCGAUUGAUUUGUUUUUUGUUUUUUUGUUGUUUUUUUUAGUUUUUUGGGGGUACCUUUAGUUUGGGAUUUGCUCCUGAGCUUAAAUAUGAAGUGCUAAGGUCUUUGGAAAUGUUCAAUCUCAAAUGGUUUCUUGCCUUUCAUUCUUCUGAAGCAUGGGGAGUAAUGUUAAACAGAUGAAACAAGAAAAAGACAUCAAACAUGUGAUGGUUUUUUUUUUUUUUUUUUUUUUUUUUUUUUUUUUUUUUUUUUUUUACCAUUUUUUUGUCUGACCUCUCAAUAUAUAUAUAUAUAUAUAUAUAUUCCCGUCUUACUAAUUAAAUAAACAGGUUGGAUACAGUAUUAAGUUAUGCAAAUUGUGCAGAAUAUUUUUAGUGGA